rnacentral:rRNA from 1 species
AGAGUUUGAUCCUGGCUCAGAAUCAACGCUGGCGGCGUGCCUAACACAUGCNAGUUGAGCGCUUGAGGGGGGCAACCCCCAAGAGAGCAGCGAACGGGUGAGUAACGCGUGGGUGAUCUUCCUUCGAGUGGGGAACAACAUCGGGAAACUGGUGCUAAUUCCGCAUAAUACCCUGGGGCUACGAGCCUCAGGAUCAAAGCCGGGGACCGCAAGGCCUGGCGCUUGAAGAUGGGCCCGCGUCCGAUUAGCUAGUUGGCGGGGUAAUGGCCCACCAAGGCUUCGAUCGGUAGCCGGCCUGAGAGGGCGGACGGCCACACUGGAACUGAGACACGGUCCAGACUCCUACGGGAGGCAGCAGUGGGGAAUUUUUCGCAAUGGGCGCAAGCCUGACGAAGCAACGCCGCGUGGAGGAUGAAGGUCUUCGGAUUGUAAACUCCUGUCGACCGGGACGAAUGCACUCGACCUAAUACGUCGGAAUGUUGACGGUACCGGUGGAGGAAGCCACGGCUAACUCUGUGCCAGCAGCCGCGGUAAUACAGAGGUGGCAAGCGUUGUUCGGAAUUACUGGGCGUAAAGGGCGCGUAGGCGGCCUUGUAAGUCUCGUGUGAAAGCCCUCGGCUUAACUGAGGAUCUGCACGGGAUACUGCGAGGCUUGAGUUCGGGANAGGAAAGCGGAAUUCCGGGUGUAGCGGUGAAAUGCG